GAUGAAGAACGCAGCGAAAUGCGAUAAGUAAUGUGAAUUGCAGAAUUCAGUGAAUCAUCGAAUCUUUGAACGCACAUUGCGCCCGCCAGCAUUCUGGCGGGCAUGCCUGUUCGAGCGUCAUUUCAACCCUCGAGCCCCCCCGGGGGCCUCGGUGUUGGGGGACGGCACACCAGCCGCCCCCGAAAUGCAGUGGCGACCCCGCCGCAGCCUCCCCUGCGUAGUAGCACACACCUCGCACCGGAGCGCGGAGGCGGUCACGCCGUAAAACGCCCAACUUUCUUAGAGUUGACCUCGGAUCAGGUAGGAAUACCCGCUGAACUUAAGCAUAUCAAUAAGCGGAUGA
rnacentral:misc_RNA from 1 species